GCCGGAUUUCCCAAGCGGUCAAAGGGAGCUGACUGUAAAUCAGCCGUCUACGACUUCAGUGGUUCGAAUCCACUAUCCGGCA
rfam:Bifidobacterium subtile strain LMG 11597 Contig01, whole genome shotgun sequence.